rnacentral:tRNA from 1 species
GGGCGCGUAGCUCAGUGGUAGAGCAGCUGACUUUUAGUAUUGGGAGCCCGUCUUCGGAAACGUAGCGGUGAACAGGCGUCAAAUUCGGGGAACCCGUCCGCAUUCCAGCAACGGCAAUCCCGAGCCAAGCCUCGCAAGAGGAAGGUGUAGAGACUAGACGGCGCCCACCUAAAGCUUCGGCCAAGGUGAAGGGAUAGUCCAGACCACGAACCCGAGAGGGGCGGCGAAAGUCGAAGUGGUAUGUAAUCAGCGGGUCGAAGGUUCGAACCCUUCCGCGCUCACCA